AGUCUAACCCUCUCUGCCCCUCAUCCCCCAGUCUAACCCUCUCUGCCCCUCAUCCCCCAGUCUAACCCUCUCUGCCCCUCAUCCCCCAGUCUAACCCUCUCUGCCCUCAUCCCCCAGUCUAACCCUCUCUGCCCCUCAUCCCCCAGUCUAACCCUCUCUGCCCCUCAUCCCCCAGUCUAACCCUCUCUGCCCCUCAUCCCCCAGUCUAACCCUCUCUGCCCCUCAUCCCCCAGUCUAACCCUCUCUGCCCCUCAUCCCCCAGUCUAACCCUCUCUGCCCCUCAUCCCCCAGUCUAACCCUCUCUGCCCCUCAUCCCCCAGUCUAACCCUCUCUGCCCCUCAUCCCCCAGUCUAACCCUCUCUGCCCCUCAUCCCCAAGUCUAACCCUCUCUGCCCCUCAUCCCCCAGUCUAACCCUCUCUGCCCCUCAUCCCCCAGUCUAACCCUCUCUGCCCCUCAUCCCCCAGUCGAACCCUCUCUGCCCCUCAUCCCCCAGUCUAACCCUCUCUGCCCCUCAUCCCCCCAGUCUAACCCUCUCUGCACGGGACCUAACAUGCUUUACCAACUGGACCUGACUGGAUUAAACCAGACCUAACUCGACCUAACCGGAUUAAACUUGGUCAAACGGACAUGGUUGAUUGUAUUCUCAGACCCUCGUGCCUGUCUUGUCGACAGACCCACAAUGCUUUGCAAACCCAGCUCCUGUGGCGUCUUGGAGGACCUCAGGGAGACCACUUUCCCAGCCAACAAGAUGACACUAAGUGGAAGUGGACUUCUGGAUGGACAGAGAGAGAGAAUGAAAGAGAGAGAGAAGGUAUAGUCUCUCUCUCUCAGGAGGAGUGAUGAUGGAUGGACAGAGAGAGAGAAUGAAAGAGAGAGAGAAGGUAUAGUCUAUCUCUCUCAGGAGGAGUGAUGAUGGAUGGACAGAGAGAGAGAAUGAAAGGGAGAGAGAAGGUAUAGUCUCUCUCUCUCAGGAGGAGUGAUGAUGGAUGGACAGAGAGAGAGAAUGAAAGAGAGAGAGAAGGUAUAGUCUAUCUCUCUCAGGAGGAGUGAUGAGCUGUGAUGUCUUCUCUGCACUGACAGACAGAUGGAUGUGAAUGUGUGCAUAGAUACACACACAGGCUACUGUAGGUAUUUAUUAGACUGAUAUACAGUAUAUGAACAACUAUAUACUAAUAAAUGAUGGUGUUUGUUGCAUUUUAA